GGCAAAAAUAUCGUGGCUAACUUGGGAGGCAAAAAUAUUUGAUUCCCUCCUUAGUUUUUAUUUGCCUCCAAUUACAGUGAAAAAAUAUUAUUUCACCAAAAGUCUCUUUUUCCCCCAAAAAUUACAUUUUCUCAGCCCCAAAUCGCGACUUUUCUUCCAGAUUUUGGAUUGAGUUCUUCCUAAAAUUGAACUGCUCUUCAAUUUUUCUAGCUUUAAUUGUAGUCGAAAGAGGUAAAAUUAUUUUUUCCAGGUCGAUGACAAGGUGAAUGGCUAUCUUUUUCCAAAAGAAAAUGUCAAAGUUUUAACACAGAUUAUGUUGCAAGUAGUAUCAAAUGGUGAACUGUCAGGCUGCUUCAUUUGGACAACAUACUGCAAGGAACCUCAUGGUAUCAGAAAGUGUGGAAGGGUAUGCUCUAUUAUUGGAGAACAUUCUCCGAUUUCCAUCCGAAGUUGCAUAUCCCAAGGCUGUUACUGAAAUCCCUGAAAAACCAAAAGCAUAAUGGCAAUGCCAACUUUUUGAAGCAAUCGAGACAAAAUAUUCUCAGAACAACACUUUGAAGACCACAAGAUAUUUGAAUGAGUUUGAAAGGCAAUGGAAUCCGACUCAAAGAGAGGGUUCUGCAGCCAUAGUGGAAAAGAGUGAGAAAUUUCUGUAUAGCAUUUGGGAGGAUCACACAAAUACUAAGAUAGCUAAUGUGAGAAAGCGAAGAGAAGACCAAGAGUUGAAGGGCAGAACUGAUCAACCUCGGGGAACAUUGGAGGAAGUGUAUAGAAGUACCAAAAGGGCCGAUCGGUCUAGGAACUAUUUGCGUGAAAGGGAUGAAGCGGAGCUUGAAAGAACUGGUCAACCGUUGUGCAUUUAUGGGCCAUAUUUUGGAGAAGGGACCUGACCAUUCUUGCAUAGUACAUCACUUUAUCGUGGCCUUGGACUUGAUAAAAUACUGGAGUAUCUACGUGAAGAUCAGGAACUUGCUAUCAGUUAUGGUGUUCCUUUGAAGAUACUAGCUCAUCUUAACGACGUCAUUGAAAAAGUGUGUGGAUCUGAACAUUCUGGACGUGUGCAUGGUUUAGGUGGUAAUGUUUGGUAGCGAGUUGCCUACUAUAAACUAAUCUUCUUAGCCUUUAGUAUAUUUUGAAACAAACGAUAGAUAUGGUGUUUCUUUAACUUUUAAUAUUAGUAUUUGUGUUAUCUUUUAUGAAUAUUUAAGGUUUGGACCUUCUUAUCUAUUGUGACAAUAUAUUGAACAAUAUCAUUACUUUGAUAAUUAUGUUACAAUUAAUAUC